GCCCCGGUAAACGGCGGCCGUAACUAUAACGGUCCUAAGGUAGCGAAAUUCCUUGUCGGGUAAGUUCCGACCUGCACGAAUGGCGUAAUGAUGGCCAGGCUGUCUCCACCCGAGACUCAGUGAAAUUGAACUCGCUGUGAAGAUGCAGUGUACCCGCGGCAAGACGGAAAGACCCCGUGAACCUUUACUAUAGCUUGACACUGAACAUUGAGCCUUGAUGUGUAGGAUAGGUGGGAGGCUUUGAAGUGUGGACGCCAGUCUGCAUGGAGCCGACCUUGAAAUACCACCCUUUAAUGUUUGAUGUUCUAACGUUGGCCCGUAAUCCGGGUUGCGGACAGUGUCUGGUGGGUAGUUUGACUGGGGCGGUCUCCUCCUAAAGAGUAACGGAGGAGCACGAAGGUUGGCUAAUCCUGGUCGGACAUCAGGAGGUUAGUGCAAUGGCAUAAGCCAGCUUGACUGCGAGCGUGACGGCGCGAGCAGGUGCGAAAGCAGGUCAUAGUGAUCCGGUGGUUCUGAAUGGAAGGGCCAUCGCUCAACGGAUAAAAGGUACUCCGGGGAUAACAGGCUGAUACCGCCCAAGAGUUCAUAUCGACGGCGGUGUUUGGCACCUCGAUGUCGGCUCAUCACAUCCUGGGGCUGAAGUAGGUCCCAAGGGUAUGGCUGUUCGCCAUUUAAAGUGGUACGCGAGCUGGGUUUAGAACGUCGUGAGACAGUUCGGUCCCUAUCUGCCGUGGGCGCUGGAGAACUGAGGGGGGCUGCUCCUAGUACGAGAGGACCGGAGUGGACGCAUCACUGGUGUUCGGGUUGUCAUGCCAAUGGCACUGCCCGGUAGCUAAAUGCGGAAGAGAUAAGUGCUGAAAGCAUCUAAGCACGAAACUUGCCCCGAGAUGAGUUCUCCCUGACUCCUUGAGAGUCCUG
rnacentral:rRNA from 1 species